AUCUACAGCCAUGCUACCCUGAGGAAGCCCGAUCCCAUCUGAUCUCGGAAGCUAAGAGUAAGGCCUGGUUAGUGCUUGGAUGGGAGACCACCUAGGAAGACCACGUGCUGUAGGUG
ensembl:rRNA 5S_rRNA 5S ribosomal RNA